CAUACAACAUGUCCCUUAGAGGAGCAAGACAGAACAGGACCGAGAGAUUACAGCAAGUUGCAAAAAACUGGAAAACUCCAGUGUCCUCAGUUGGUGAACAGAUGAACAUUCUGGUAUAUACGUACAAUGGAGUAUUGCUGAAAAUAAAAGAACAGAGUCUCAAUACAUGCAAUAGCUUGGACGAAUCCCCAAGUUAACAGGUAACAGGCAACCAACAUACAACACAAUCAGUGCUCCAGCGAGGACGUCCUGGAGAGGACAAGGCAGCUUCUGGAGAAGAAGAUGUACAAGCUAUGACCCGGAGGAUGGGCAGCAGCUGGCCAGGAAAGAGGGGCGGCUGUCACAAGAGGGAAGAGGACAGUUCGUGAGGAGGUCCCGAAGGGAGAGUGGAAGGCCUGUUAAGAGGCAUGGCAGGAGCUCACAGGGCAGUGCAGGGAGACUGGGGCAGGAGCAUGGGGUGCCAGGGUCACGUGCUCACCCCCCAGGGUGAUGGCAAUGGAUCCUGGGAUUGAACAUCCAUAGGCCAGAAGAACACGAAUCAGAUGAGAGGUGGAGGUGCUCACAGGAGCUGGAGUUCUGCAGUAGGUCGGGGACCCAAGCCUUGCACACAUGAGUAGAGGGAUGUGGCAGAAGGAGAUGGACUGCGAGACAGACCCCUCUCUGCACCUGCUGUCUCACUGUCAGAUGGACUGUCAGUAGCCUGAAGUUUCUGUGGCCCAAGCUCUAGGCAGGCUGGAUGAGCUGCUCACCCUCCCUCCUCCCCGCACAUGCUGCCCUGUGCUUCUAGCUCCCUGCCUGUAGCUCUGCCCAUCAUGGCCCCCCAGCCCUCCCACCACACCCAGAGGCUGUGCCCUCCAUGCAGUUGUGUGGCCUCUCUGGGCCUUCGAUUGGGGAACUGAUGGGGUUACUGGCAGACUCACCUCUUCAGGCUCAUCUCAUAGCCCUCCCUACCCAGGAACCCUGGCCCACCCUCAUUCCCUCAGACUUCCAGAGCUUUCUCUGCCUAGAGUUUUUUCCUUUCCCUCCCUUCCCACCCACUCCCUGCUUUUUGAUUUGCUAAUUCUUCCUCAGCUUUCAAACCCCAGUCUUCAGUAUUAUUCCUUCAGGGAAGCCUUCCCCGAGGGGCCCAUUGCUCCUUACUUCUGUAUUAGCACUGUGCACAUUCUCCUUCCCUUC